rnacentral:rRNA from 1 species
GUGGGGAAUCUUGCACAAUGGGCGAAAGCCUGAUGCAGCGACGCCACGUGCGGGAUGAAGGCCUUCGGGUUGUAAACCGCUUUCAGCAGGGACGAGGCCGCAAGGUGACGGUACCUGCAGAAGAAGCCCCGGCUAACUACGUGCCAGCAGCCGCGGUAAUACGUAGGGGGCGAGCGUUAUCCGGAUUCAUUGGGCGUAAAGCGCGUGUAGGCGGUCCGUUAGGUCGGGAGUCAAAUCCGGGGGCUCAACCCCCGUUCGCUUCCGAUACCGGCGGACUUGAGUCUGGUAGGGGAAGGUGGAAUUCCCAGUGUAGCGGUGGAAUGCGCAGAUAUUGGGAAGAACACCGGUGGCGAAGGCGGCCUUCUGGGCCACGACUGACGCUGAGACGCGAAAGCUAGGGGAGCGAACAGGAUUAGAAACCCUGGUAGUCC